rnacentral:rRNA from 1 species
GCUCAGAUUGAACGCUGGCGGCAUGCUUUACACAUGCAAGUCGAACGGUAACAGGCCUUCGGGUGCUGACGAGUGGCGAACGGGUGAGUAAUGCAUCGGAACGUGCCCAGAGGUGGGGGAUAACGCAGCGAAAGCUGUGCUAAUACCGCAUGUGAUCUGAGGAUGAAAGCGGGGGACCAGGCAGCAAUGUUUGGCCUCGCGCCUUUGGAGCGGCCGAUGUCAGAUUAGGUAGUUGGUGGGGUAAAGGCCUACCAAGCCGACGAUCUGUAGCUGGUCUGAGAGGACGACCAGCCACAUUGGGAUCUGAGACACGGCCCAGACUCCUACGGGAGGCAGCAGUA